UACGAAGGGGGCUAGCGUUGUUCGGAAUUACUGGGCGUAAAGCGUGCGCAGGCGGCUUCUCAAGUCAGGGGUGAAAGGCCCAGAGCUUAACUCUGGAAUUGCCUUUGAGACUGAGAUGGCUUGAGUACGGGAGAGGUGAGUGGAAUUCCCAGUGUAGAGGUGAAAUUCGUAGAUAUUGGGAAGAACACCGGUGGCGAAGGCGGCUCACUGGCCCGUAACUGACGCUCAUGCACGACAGCGUGGGGAUCAAACAGG
rnacentral:rRNA from 1 species